CCCAGCAGACGGGGAGAGGAGGUUGUGUGGGACAGACUGCUCCUAACAGAAGGAUGUCCCAGCUGAGCCUGUCCUUGCUGGGCCUCGGGCCAGUGGCAGCGUCCCCAUGGCUGCUCCUCCUGCUGGUCGGGGCCUCCUGGCUCCUGGCCCGUGUCCUGGCCUGGACCUAUGCCUUCUAUGACAACUGCCGCCGCCUCCAGUGUUUCCCACAACCCCCGAGACGGAACUGGUUUUGGGGACACCAGGGCAUGGUCAACCCCACAGAGGAGGGCAUGAGAGUUCUGACUCAGCUGGUGGCCACCUACCCCCAGGGCUUUAAGGUCUGGAUGGGCCCCAUCUCCCCCCUCCUCAGUUUGUGCCACCCCGACAUCAUCCGGUCUGUCAUCAACGCCUCAGCUGCCAUUGCACCAAAGGACAAGUUCUUCUACAGCUUUCUGGAGCCCUGGCUGGGUGAGUAUCUGCAGGUGAACAGGGUUGGGAAAAAUGCUGGGGGGCCGGGGGAGGGAGAGGCCCUUGCCCAUGGCCCUUGGCUGCCCUGCUAGGGGACGGGCUCCUGCUGAGUGCUGGUGACAAGUGGAGCCGCCACCGUCGGA
rnacentral:sRNA from 1 species